UUUUUUUCUUUGUCAAGGAAACAGAUAAUUGUGGUCUGGUGCCAUGAUAUUUAAAGCUAACAGUAUAUUUUGCCCAAGCAACUAAUCUAGACCUAUGAUCACAACACAGCUUCGCCAUGAAGACCUUUCUACUCACCAGUACUAGCUGCGGUGCAACUCAUUGGUAGAAAACAUGGAGAUGGUAAGGAUCAGUUGUAUGCUUCAUUUGAGCACAAAAUGACACAGGAGUUCUUUCUGCUCUGCCUCUAGUGAGCACAAAAAGGCGCCUGGCAUAUCUGUCUUCUGUGAAGCACAACCCUGCAACCAAUGGAAAGAGAGACCCACAGCCAAACAUGAGAUGGAGCUUAGAGGGUCUUGUUGAAGAGUUAGGGGAAGGAUUGAGGAACCUGAAGAGGACAGUGUCUCCACAGGAAUACCAACAGAGUCAAGUCAACUAUCGUACCUAGGCCCUCUGAACACAAUCAAAUGUGCAACUUAUUCUUCAUGCAGGUCCGUUUAGAGCUAUAGUGGAAGCUGUGCAUGCAACUGUUGCCUACUUCCUUAUGGACCUCAUUCUCCUAACUGGGUUGCCUGGCAUCAGUGGAAGAGGUUAUGUCUAGUACUGAUGUACUGGAGGGCAUAACAACAACAACAACAACAACAACAACAACAACAACAACAUGAUGAUGAUGAUGGUGAUGAUGAUGAUGAUGAUAUUUAGCAGGAAGCUCUCCCUUCUCAGAGGAGAAGAAGAAGAAGGAAUGGGUUAGGAUCGGCAUGAGGGGAU
rnacentral:lncRNA from 1 species